rnacentral:lncRNA from 1 species
ACACCUUAGGACUUAGACUCAUCAGCCGCAUUAGACACAUAUGAGGAGAUCAAGAGAGCACUUCAUCUUCGACACUAAGAAAACAAAAAAAAAACUACAGCUCUCAUUCAUCUUCUUCAUCAUGGAACCAACAACAACAAAAACCUAACCUUAGACACCUAGAAGACUUAGUCCAUUAAUUCAUAUUCUUCCUAUUAAAAAAAAGACGCCCAACUGACCCGUCGUCCAGCAGCCAGUAACGACCAUCUCGCCUGAAAAACCAAGCAGCAACCAUCUUCCUUGACCAGACCACCAUCCACCAGCGUCGUCUCCAGCUCCACCAGGCAUCCAGUAGCGCUGCUGCUGCCUUACAUCGAUAAACCAGCGUCGACCUUCGUCCUACGACGCUACUGCUCGUCAACUAGUCUUCCCCCUCGCCUGAUCUUGUCACGACCAAACAGUGCACAGUUGUCGCUCCAUCUUAUUCUUCGUCCCAAGCACCAAACCACCUGCGGUUUCUCGUCGUCCAGUUCGUGGCCUAGUUCUUCGAGGUCAUUCAUCGUCAACUCGAGGUUUAUUCGCUGAUUGUUAUUUCCGUUCGAAUUCAAAGAGUAAGCAGUUCGAGGUCGUUGUUGAGAUUCCGGGCAGAUUCGAGUUAUUUUUGGUUUCAAAAUUUUCCAGGAAGAUUGGUUUCUGUUCGAGUUCGUCGUUGUUCCGAUAUGGUUAGUUGGUUUAAUUUUUAUUUCUAUCCGUAUUUUUGUUUGAUAUUCUCGGAUGUGAAAUCGUUAUAUGUUUGAUUCUUUUCUUGUUCGUUGUUUAUCAUUUCUUGAUUAUUUCUUUAGUUUAUUUUAUUCAUUUAAAAGAAUUUAAUUUUAAUAUAGAAUUUUUUUAGUUUAAUCACUUGAAUCCUUUAUCUUGAUUGUAAUAUUGUUAGAUUUAAUAUGAAGUUUAAUUGAUUAUUGAGUUUAGUGAAUUGAAUCUGUUUUAUUAUUUUGUUUAAGUCUAAAUUUGGAUCCGAGUUAGAGAUUUGAAUUUGUUUGUUUGAUCUGUUAAGUUUAAUUUGAAUCUGAGCUUAGUAAUUUGAAUAUACUUGUUUGUUAUUGUUGUUGAAUCUGAAAGUAUAUUCGUUGUUAAAAAUGUUGUUCGGUCAAAAUAAUUUUAAUUGGUUCUUGGCUGUUCAUCAUAUAGUUGGAAUUGUUGAAUGAAGUUGAUUAGGAAAUUGGCUAUAGCUGAUAUAUUUUGGUUAAUUAAAUUAGGUGAAUUGGUUAUAGUUGAUGGGGUAGAUUAGUAAUUCUCAGUAAUUUUGGGGGUAUUUUUGUAAUUGAAAUAUAAAGAAUUGUUUAAAAAUAUAGUGGGAACAUAAUUAUGUAAAGUAAUAAGAGGGAAAAGAUAUAUGGGGAGCAUAAUGAUUAAAGUAAAAAGAGAGUGGAUUGUGAGGUCCACGUUUGACUGCUUUUAUUGAUUGGGAAUUAAAAAUAUUAGGGUAAUAAUAAAAGGGGUAAUAAUAAUAAUUAAAAGAGAGUAAAGGGUCUUGCAUUUAGGAUAUAUAAUAGCAAUCACUUAACACUUAGAAAGGGGAGAAGAAUUUUGGGGAGAAAUUAUUUUUUCAGAACUUAAGAGUAAAAUGGAGGUCUUUUCAGGAAGAUGAGACAUUACAGUGGAAUACAAAAACAGUUUUGGUUACUUCUAAUCAUACCAGAACAGAAGAAUCCAAACAUCAAGAUUAAUGCUGCAAUAAACAUCAGUUAGGAGGAGAGGACAGACAGUUACUCAUUCAUGUAGCUGAUUCAAAUGGUGUAUCAGAAUCUAAUCCAUCUGGUGCAAUAAAAGCUGACAACUCAAAAAUUCAACAUCAUAUGUUACAUGAACAACUCUAUACUCUGCAGAAUACAACUGGCAAGAAUACAAUGCAGAAUAGGCAGAUGGCCAAUGUUCAAUUUUCGCCACCAUCAAAUUCCAUUGGAAAUAACAAACAACUAG